CUCAAGAAACAAACACUUUCUGUCCCUGAGUGUCACACGUUGGGAUUUUCAGGUUAUAGAGCGAAUGAGUUAAUGAAGUCAGUAGGUUUUUACUUUAAAAUACAGUUUGUGGUUAAAACAAGCCGAAGAUAUUUUCAUAUUUUGUUCUACGGCAUAAAACCUACGCUGCAGGAGUGACCUGGACAUGGAUGCUAAAACAGACUCUUAAACCCACACACUCUUCUGGCCCUUGUACCAGAAAAUCCUCAAGACUCUGAUGAUGAUCUGAGUGAGGUUGAUGACCAAAUAGAUGAUCCUGAUUAUAGAUGAAUUACAACAACUUUGGACAUUGACCACUGCACUGUGACAAGCGAGGGCGAUGCAACCUCUGUCCAAAGGGUGUGUCAAGAUGGAAAUGCCAGAAAUGCAAUGUUUUCCUGUGUUUGAACACAAACCAGGAAUGCUUUGUAGCAUACCACCAGAAAUAAAAUGGAUCUAAUGCUCCAAAAGCAUGUGUGCUGUUGCACCACCACACAGUGGAGCUGUUGUGAUGAAAAUGUUAGAAAUGUAAUGUUUGUGUUUUUAUGUGUUUUGCAAAGUUAUGCUGUGUUUGCAUUUUUAAAUACUGCAUAGUAUGCCACCAGAAAUGUGGAUCGAUGGAUUAUUUGCAGAAGUGCAAUUCUUUUCCUGUAUAUUGCAAUAUUUUGUUAAAGUGAAAAUGUUUUGUGGCAUAUUACCACAAAUAAAGUGGGUCUAAUGUCUAAAAA